GAAGGCCCUUCGGGGUACUCGAGUGGCGAACGGGUGAGUAACACGUGGGUGAUCUGCCCUGCACUUUGGGAAAAGCCUGGGAAACUGGGUCUAAUACCGAAUAGGACCAANNNNNANUAGANCGCGCUUCAUGGUGUGUGGUGGAAAGCUUUUGCGGUGUGGGAUGGGCCCGCGGCCUAUCAGCUUGUUGGUGGGGUAAUGGCCUACCAAGGCGACGACGGGUAGCCGGCCUGAGAGGGUGACCGGCCACACUGGGACUGAGAUACGGCCCAGACUCCUACGGGAGGCAGCAGUGGGGAAUAUUGCACAAUGGGCGCAAGCCUGAUGCAGCGACGCCGCGUGAGGGAUGACGGCCUUCGGGUUGUAAACCUCUUUCAAUAGGGACGAAGCGCAAGUGACGGUACCUAUAGAAGAAGCACCGGCCAACUACGUGCCAGCAGCCGCGGUAAUACGUAGGGUGCGAGCGUUGUCCGGAAUUACUGGGCGUAAAGAGCUCGUAGGUGGUUUGUCGCGUUGUUCGUGAAAACUCACAGCUUAACUGUGGGCGUGCGGGCGAUACGGGCAGACUAGAGUACUGCAGGGGAGACUGGAAUUCCUGGUGUAGCGGUGGAAUGCGCAGAUAUCAGGAGGAACACCGGUGGCGAAGGCGGGUCUCUGGGCAGUAACUGACGCUGAGGAGCGAAAGCGUGGGGAGCGAACAGGAUUAGAUACCCUGGUAGUCCACGCCGUAAACGGUGGGUACUAGGUGUGGGUUCCUUCCUUGGGAUCCGUGCCGUAGCUAACGCAUUAAGUACCCCGCCUGGGGAGUACGGCCGCAAGGCUAAAACUCAAAGGAAUUGACGGGGGCCCGCACAAGCGGCGGAGCAUGUGGAUUAAUUCGAUGCAACGCGAAGAACCUUACCUGGGUUUGACAUGCACAGGACGCCGGCAGAGAUGUCGGGUUCCCUUGUGGCCUGUGUGCAGGUGGUGCAUGGCUGUCGUCAGCUCGUGUCGUGAGAUGUUGGGUUAAGUCCCGCAACGAGCGCAACCCUUGUCCUAUGUUGCCAGCGGGUUAUGCCGGGGACUCGUAGGAGACUGCCGGGGUCAACUCGGAGGAAGGUGGGGAUGACGUCAAGUCAUCAUGCCCCUUAUGUCCAGGGCUUCACACAUGCUACAAUGGCCGGUACAAAGGGCUGCGAUGCCGUGAGGUGGAGCGAAUCCUUUCAAAGCCGGUCUCAGUUCGGAUCGGGGUCUGCAACUCGACCCCGUGAAGUCGGAGUCGCUAGUAAUCGCAGAUCAGCAACGCUGCGGUGAAUACGUUCCCGGGCCUUGUACACACCGCCCGUCACGUCAUGAAAGUCGGUAACACCCGAAGCCGGUGGCCUAACC
rnacentral:rRNA from 1 species